GGGAAUGACAAGCAACCAGCAGGGCUUGCUGGACUGUGGGAAGCAGGACCGAGUGAGCAGGCUUGCCUCGCUGUGCUGGAGGAUCUCCCCUCCUCAGCAGGGCCUGUUCCCAGAGGUGAAUAUGGGCCCACUUAGACACAGGUGUGUGUGUCUGUGUAUUGUCAGCACCUGCAGGCAGAGAACGUCUCCAGGGCUGUGGCGUUUCCUCAUGCCCCCUGUUCUCAGAAAGCCCACACUGCAGGCUGCUGGCGAGAAGACCUCAGGAAGCAGGUCCUGUGAAGAGGUUCAAUCCAAUUUGCCUUCCCCAUGCUCCAGCAUUGACCUGGACAUUGGAAUUGAGAAAGCCAGUCUUACCACAUGGAUCAUCUUGAGCACCGGUGUUAAAUGAGAGUACACAUCACCUAACGCAUAGCCGUGGCUCAAGUUCAUCCUUCCCCAGGACACGUACUAAAUGGGAAGAAAAGGAGGACUCUGCAGAGGUGAAUGAGAGGCACAGACUUCUCAUUGUUUUGGAGGAAAACAGAAUGGUGUGGUAUCCCAGAAGCUAAGACAACAAAGGGUUUCAAGGAGGAAGAGAACAACUGCAUCAACGCCAAAUGCUGCUGAGAGGUUGAGGAAGAACUGGACUGAUGAUCUCACACAGGCCUGAGGCUGUGGCCAAGGCAGGAAAAUGUGGGAAUGGCCUUUCUCUGAACGUUGACCUCUGCCACCUGCCAAGCACCUUAUGAUUUCCAGUUGUACUUCCUCACCAGCCUCGCUCAUAGAUAAGCCUUCCUAUCUUAGUAAUAAUUAAAUGUUCUUGUCCGAAACCAAUAGAGUAAAGAAGAUUAUUUCCAUCUGUAGGGAAAUAUGGCACCUGAUAAUCCUGAGACUACAUCAUUAUGGUUGAAGAUUAAAAGGAAGAGACAGCCUUUCUCUAAGUACCCAAGUUGCACAUCUCAGAGAAGCUUAUAAUUGACACUGUGAAGAUUAGCCCUGAGCUAACAUCUGCUGCCAGUCCUCCUCUCUUUGCUGAGGAAGAAGCCAACAUCCAUGCCCAUCUACCUCUACUUUAUAUCUGGGACACCUGCCACAGCAUGUCAUGCCAAGCUGUGUGUAGGCCUGCACCCGGGAUCCAAACCUGCAAAUCCCAGGCUGCAGAAGCAGAGCAUGCGUACUUAACCACUGCGCCACCGGGCCACCCCAAUGUACAUGUAAUUUUUUUAAUUACUCAGACUUUGUCUCAAGGAGUAUACUGAUAGUAGAGGAAACUGACAAGAAAAUAACAAGUGCAACAUAGAAUUUCUAAAAGUGCUUUAAUAGAUGUAUAUGCAGCAUGAUGUAGGAGCACAAAAGCAUAUAAAAAUGAAGCAAAUAAUUUUGAAAUAGGAAGAUGGGUUAAACCUUGGCUAAGUAGGUGGCAUUUAUACUGGGGUUUGAGGAAGAGGUUUGGAAUAGGCAGAGAAGUGAAUGUGUUCUACUUCUUCAAUGUUCUACUCGUCCAUUCCUGGUUUUCCUUAAACCACUAAGCAUUGAGGAGUUUGUUUUCUAAAUCUUCACAGCCCAGUUUUAUUUACUAGAAGUGCCGCCUCAUCAGACUUGGUGACUGUUCUCUUAGCAGAUCAAGGUUCCUGGGCAACAUCUUGCAGCCUUUACAGAAUCAGAGCUUCUUGCCCUGUGUGGUAGCUCUUCACUGCAGCUGCCCCCGCAGUCCAGGCACUAGCAACAGAAAUGAGUCAAGGAGCCUUCAUCUUUGUGUAAAUAAGGGCCCUGUUGUAUCGUCACGCUGCAGGGGCAGGGUGUGGUCUGCAGGCCGCAGGGUGAUGCCUCAAACUGUCUGGACUCAAAGUCUAAGCGCCGCAUCCAGGUUCUUAAGCAAGUGAUUGAGCCUGUGCAACAUGUCUCUCCUGUUCCCCCAUCCCCUCCAAGACUGGAGAUGAGCUGGGCAGGGUGACCUGUGUCACAAGCCGAUUGUCAGAAUAUCACAUUAACAAUCAUUUGUUAGGUCCUCUUUCCUGUUUUGUCAGUAAAGCUCUGUUGAGACUGAUGGUGAGGGGAGAUUCAGGCCGAGGUAGUCCAACUUCCGCUGAGUGGCUUAUGACUUCAGACAUGUAUCCUCGUGUUGGAGAGUGAUGUUCAUCAGAGAACAUUUUCAGCCCAAUGAUAUAUUCAAUCCGGGCCACAUUUUAUUGUCAUUAAUGAGACUGCAUGCUCUUUAAUAUUUUUUUACUUUUUUCAAAAUUAGGUAUUACAGCCCCCAACUUAACAAUAUUUAAAACUCUCCAUCUCUGCCACUCAUGGGCUUGUCAUCUCUGCUCUACUUGAGUCUGUCUACACAUGCAUUUUCUCUCCUGGUUAUUUGAAAUGACUUAAGAUGUUCAUACACAGUGUGUCUUCCGGUUGUGCAAAUAUUUUCGUGUUGCUCAUGAUUAAGUUGCUUGCAUGUGCCCGAUAGAGUCUGUUGAAUUUCUAAGGUCACAGUAAUUGGCAGAUGGAAGAAGUUCCAUCCUAUGAACUUUGAGGAAGGCUCUGGCUGCCUUCCUGCUUGACAGAGCAGGGAGGGAGAUGAAUUCUGCUUAAGCUGACAGCGGGCUGCAUAACAAACAGCCCAAGCCAUCAAACUGUAUUAUUUUUAACUAACACGCAUUAUUCCCUUUGAAAAGUAAAAUCUCCUCUUGAUAGUUUUCCUCCACCAAAGAAUGCACUUUCCUCUCCCUAGAAAUGGCAGCUCUGCCUCUCCUAGAUGCUCAACUCGGACAGUUAUUGCCCUAAAUGACGGAUGAGCUCACUUCCCAGCAGCUCAUCUCGGCCACUCGGCAGCAGCCCUAGACAGUCUGGCAAACCUCUUCUGGUCCGUAGCGUUCUCUCAGACCUGCCCUGGCUCCUCUCCGCUGAGCUGGACUUAGUCCUCUCAAAUCUGUUGACCUACCUCAGCCCUUCUCUCUUGCUGGCAGUUAUUUCUCCUUAGCCUCCCUUAUUUCCCUGCAGGCUCAAUUUCUUAUGUAAAUGUUGGGUGACCACUUUGGGCCAGCUGCUGUCUCCAUGCGAUUGCUCACCAGAACAGUAGGUUUCCGGAGCUGGCUCUCCUAAAGAGAACUUUCUAUCCCUCAGUGGAACUGCAUUCUAUAAAGGGAUUGUGUUCUCAGCCCUUACGUAAAGAACGAGAACCAUUUAGAGUCAAACUUAACUUGGGAAAUCUCACAUUGGGGACCACACACCACUCUCAAUAGGUCCAGCACAACCAGAUUUGCCUCCAAGGUUGGAACAGAUUGCUAUAUCCUUUUUUGGACAUGAGACGAAUUAAUUUGUUCUUUUAUUUUAGUAGCCAUUGCGUAAAAUCACACCUAGCGCGGCAAGAAGUUCACGCUAUAAGAAGCAAGGGGGAAUGAAACUCAACUGCAUUAAUAGUCUAUGGAUGCUUCACCACUCAUGUUCUCUGUGCAUGUUCUCUCUUUCUCUCUCCCCCUCCAUCCAUCCCUCCAUCCCCCUUUCCUCCCUUCUUCCCUGCCACCUCCUUCUCUCCCCUUCUCCCCCACCUCCUUCUCUCUCUGUCUCUCCCUUCCCUCUCUCCCUGGCUCCAUCUCACCAUCUUCUCUUCUCUUUCUUCUCUUCUCUUCUAUUCCUUCUCCCUCUCUCUCUCUCUUCUUCUCCAUUUUAUCCUGCUCCUCCUCCUUUCCCUCCUUCCCUCUUCCCUCUGACGCACACACAGGAAUCAUUGCAUUUAACGGUAAGCUGUCUUCACGUACCUGUAUUAAAAAGCUGAAUCAUCCUGUUCUAUCCCACCUCAAGGUCUUAGUGAUCAUCUCUGAAAGCUUGGCCUUAACUUGCCCCACUGUCUUCCUGUCGUUUUCUUCAUUUCCACAGUCUCUCUCUCCUCCCUGUGAUCCACCCACGUCAAUCUUACUUUUCCAUCUUUAUUCUCUCGGAGGUCUUGAUCUCCUUCCCCCC
ensembl:lncRNA